GUACUCUCUUUGGCAGCACAUAUACAAAAAUUGAACACUAUAGAAAAGAUUAGCAUGGCUCCUGUGCAAGGAUGGCAUGCACGUUUGUGAAGCGUACCAUAUUUUU
ensembl:snRNA U6 U6 spliceosomal RNA